rnacentral:miRNA from 1 species
AUUAAGCUUUUAAUUUUUUGUUUCUGUCACUCUUGAAGAUAGUAGACAUUGAGGUAAAAAAUUAAAAGCUUUAU